rnacentral:lncRNA from 14 species
AUGAAUCUGGGGCUCAGACCCGCUCUGUGGACAAUCCUUAUUUCAGGGAUCCUUUGAGGUCAUUGAACAAUGCAGGGACUCUAGGAACUCUUCUUAAUGCCCACCUAUGCCAAGUGACCCUCAGAGAAUCCAGGGCUGAAGUAUUUUUGCAGAC